GCUUCAGGUUUAUGUUUGGAUCAGCUAUAAAAUUUCGGUGAAAAGCAAAAGGGAUGGCGAGUUGUCUAUGGAGGAGUCAUCCCCAACAACUAAUUCAAUAUCGCCAUCACUCCUCCGCCUUAUCCGAUUAUCAUUCUCUUCAUCCCUGUCAUCUGUAUGACCGCCGCCUUUGUAAUUUCUCAGUCACAACCCGUCCCCGC
rnacentral:misc_RNA from 1 species